GUGCUCGCUUCGGCAGCACAGAUACUAAAACUGGAACAAUACAGAGAAGAUUAGCAUGGCCCUGCCAAGGAUGACACCAAAUUUGUGAAGCGUUCCAUAUUUUU
ensembl:snRNA U6 U6 spliceosomal RNA